rnacentral:rRNA from 1 species
AGUGAACGCUGGCGAUAGGCCUAACACAUGCAAGUCGAACGGCAGCACAGUAAGAGCUUGCUCUUACGGGUGGCGAGUGGCGGGCGGGUGAGGAAUACAUCGGAAUCUACUUUUUCGUGGGGGAUAACGUAGGGAAACUUACGCUAAUACCGCAUACGACCUACGGGUGAAAGCAGGGGAUCUUCGGACCUUGCGCGAUUGAAUGAGCCGAUGUCGGAUUAGCUAGUUGGCGGGGUAAAGGCCCACCAAGGCGACGAUCCGUAGCUGGUCUGAGAGGAUGAUCAGCCACACUGGAACUGAGACACGGUCCAGACUCCUACGGGAGGCAGCAGUGGGGAAUAUUGGACAAUGGGCGCAAGCCUGACCCAGCCACACCGCGUGGGUGAAGAAGGCCUUCGGGUUGUAAAGCCCUUUUGUUGGGAAAGAAAAGCAGCAGGUUAAUACCCCGCUGUUCUGACGGUACCCAAAGAAUAAGCACCGGCUAACUUCGUG